AGUGAACGCUGGCGGUAGGCCUAACACAUGCAAGUCGAGCGGCAGCACGGUAAGAUCUUUCUCUUACGGGUGGCGGGUGGCGGACGGGUGAGGAAUACAUAGGAAUCUACUUUUUCGGGGGGGAUAACGGGGGGAAACUGACGCUACUAGCGCAUACGACGUACGGGUGGAAGCAGAGGAGCUUCGGAGCUUGCGCGUCUGAAUGAGACGAUGUCGGAUUAGCUAGUUGGGGGGGUAACGGCCCGCCAAGGCGACGAUCCGUAGCUGGUCUGAGAGGAUGAUCAGCCACACUGGAACUGAGACACGGUCCAGACUCCUACGGGAGGCAGCAGUGGGGAAUAUUGGACAAUGGGCGAAAGCCUGACCCAGCAAUACCGCGUGGGUGAAGAAGGCCUUCGGGUCGUAAAGCCCUUUUGUUGGGAAAGAAAAGCAGUAGGUUAAUCCCCCGCUGUUUUGACGGUACCCAAAGAAUAAGCACCGGCUAACUUCGUG
rnacentral:rRNA from 1 species